rnacentral:ncRNA from 1 species
CCUUUACGCGCUGGGCUACACACGUGCUACAAUGGCGACUACAGUGGGCUGCAACCGUGCGAGCGGUAGCUAAUCUCCAAAAGUCGUCUCAGUUCGGAUUGUUCUCUGCAACUCGAGAGCAUGAAGGCGGAAUCGCUAGUAAUCGCGGAUCAGCAUGCCGCGGUGAAUACGUUCCCAGGCCUUGUACACACCGCCCGUCACACCAUGGGAUUUGGAUUCACCCGAAGGCACUGCGCUAACUCGCAAGAGAGGCAGGUGACCACGGUGGGUUUAGAGACUGGGGUGAAGUCGUAACAAGGUAGCCGUAGGGGAACCUGCGGCUGGAUCACCUCCUUU